AUGGAUUUAGGCCAGCCUGGGCGACAGAGAGAGACUCCAUCUCAAAAAAAAAAAAAAGGACCCAAACAGGAAGCUGCUUACCGCAAUAUCAGUCAGAAUUUGUGGGGGCCCAUCGGUAUGGGUGCCUGGCGGGGGUCCGGGUGCAGACAGUGGUCUCGGGCUCCUGUGCUGCACACAGCCUCCUCAUUACCACCGAAGGGAAGCUGUGGAGCUGGGGUCCAAAUGAGAAGGGGCAGCUGGGACAUGGUGACAUCAAGAGAGUAGAAGCCCCCAGACUCAUCUAGGGUCUCAGCCACGAAGUGAUUGUGUCUGCAGCAUGUGCGCGGAACCACACCUUGGCCUUGAUGGAAACAGGCUCCGUGUUUGCCUUUGGGGAAAACAAGAUGGGGCAGUGGGGCCUUAGCAACCAGACAGGUGCUGUCCCCAGCCCUGCGCAGAUAAUGUACAACGGCCAGCCAAUUACCAAAAUGGCCUGUGGGGCUGAAUUCAGUAUGAUAAUGGACUGCAAAGGAAACCUUUUUUAUCUGUUCCUUUGGGUGCCCUGAAUAUGGUCAGCUGGGACACAACUCAGAUGGGAAGUUCAUUGUCCCGGCAUAGCGGAUAGAGUAUGACUGCGAACUAGUUCUCCCGCUAGUGGCCAUCUUCAUUGAGAAGACAAAAGAUGGACAGAUUCUUCCUGUACCAAACUUGGUUAUGCGAGGCGUGGCCUGUGGCGCUAACCACACGCUGGUCCUGGACUCCCAGAAGUGAGUCUUCUCCUGGGGCUUCGGUGGCUAUGGCUGGCUGGGCCACGCAGAGCAGAAGGAUGAGAUGGUCCCCUGCCUGGUGAAGCUGUUUGACUUCCCUGGGCAUGGGGCUUCCCAGAUCUAUGCUGGUUACACCUGUUUCUUUGCCGUCAGUGAAGUGGGUGGUCUGUUUUUCUGGGGGGCCACCAACACCUCCCGUGAAUCUACCAUGUACCCAAAAGCAGUGCAGGACUUCUGCGGCUGGAGAAUCCAGAGCCUGGCUUGUGGGAAGAGCAGCAGCAUUGUGGCCGCUGACGAGAGCACCAUCAGCUGGGACCCAUCACCGACCUUUGGGGAACUGGGCUACAGGGACCACAAGCCCAAGUCUUCCACUACAGCCGAGGAGGUGAAGACUGUGCAUGGCAUUUUCUCAGAGCAGGUCGCCAUGGGCUACUCACACUCCUUGGUGAUAGCAAGAGAUGAAAAUGAGACUGAGAAAGAAAAGAUCAAGAAACUGCCAUAAUACAGCCCCCGAACCCUCUGAUGCUCCCGGAGACUCCUCCGACUCCACACCUCUCACGGCAUCUGUCAUUUCCAUGUGCACUGGGACGGGAAGUCAAACGAGGAAUUUAAAAAAACAAAAGUUGACCGAAGGUGUAUUUUUGUUUAGACUCCCUGAGGUUCCGUUUUACAAAUGAUCCAGCGUUAACUACCUUUUUUUCUGUAUGCUUUCCAAAGUCCCUUUUUUUCCCUUAAUGUCAAAUUAAAAUACUUGCUCAUAGUUGACUUACCAUUCCUACAAAAGAGGCAGAAACUUUGAGCAAUCUAGGUUUUUUUUGUUUCUUUCUUCCUCUCCUGAAUACACUCCCCAAAACACUCCUUUCGAGUUAUAAUUAGCAUCGUGAUCUAAGCGGAUGCUACAUGGAAGAGGAAUUGCCAUUUACUCAGAAAAAACGUCCCUUACAGGAACCGGCAGCAGCUAGGCAAAGUCGCCGGCCCACCUCCAUCCAAAAUCAUGCUCGCAUGCUUCAGAAGCAUCCAGGUCACUCCUUUCCCACUUUUUCUUGCAGAUCGGCCUAGGCCGGUGUCAGUUCUGUUUCUCCUCUUGGCUGCCUGUAUGCCCACAGCCUUCUGGCUGUGACAUUAUAGAAUCAGCCGUGUUCCCCCUGGUGGGGGAUUGGGGAUCUGUGUUUAGCCAUUUGUAACUACUUCAGCUGUUAAGUCCAAAUGAAAAUCAGGUGACUGUGGAACCAUGGGGACUUGGGGGUGGGGCAGAGGUGGGAACAUUUCUAUCAGUUGAGUCAGCUUCGUGGCUCCCUGUGGAGCCAGGGCUGAGUCUUG